rnacentral:rRNA from 1 species
GGAUGAACGCUAGCGGCAGGCUUAAUACAUGCAAGUCGAGGGGCAGCACAGGUAGCAAUACUGGGUGGCGACCGGCAAACGGGUGCGGAACACGUACGGAACCUUCCUUUAAGCGGGGAAUAGCCCAGGGAAACUUGGAUUAAUACCCCAUAAUACUUUUGAGUGGCAUCACUUGAUAGUUAAAGCUCCGGCACUUAAAGAUGGGCGUGCGGCUGAUUAGGUAGUUGGCGGGGUAACGGCCCACCAAGCCAACGAUCAGUAACUGGUGUGAGAGCACGACCAGUCACACGGGCACUGAGACACGGGCCCGACUCCUACGGGAGGCAGCAGUAAGGAAUACUGGUCAAUGGACGCAAGUCUGAACCAGCCAUGCCGCGUGGAGGAUGAAGGCCCUCUGGGUUGUAAACUUCUUUUAUUGGGGAAGAAACCCAUCUUUUCUAAGGUGGUUGACGGUACCCGAUGAAUAAGCACCGGCUAACUCCGUGCCAGCAGCCGCGGUAAUACGGAGGGUGCAAGCGUUAUCCGGAUUCACUGGGUCUAAAGGGUGCGUAGGUGGGCAGGUAAGUCAGUGGUGAAAUCUCCGGGCUUAACCCGGAAACUGCCGUUGAUACUAUCUGUCUUGAAUGUAGUGGAGGUGAGCGGAAUAUGUCAUGUAGCGGUGAAAUGCUUAGAUAUGACAUAGAACACCUAUUGCGAAGGCAGCUCGCUACACUAUUAUUGACACUGAGGCACGAAAGCGUGGGGAUCAAACAGGAUUAGAUACCCUGGUAGUCCACGCCCUAAACGAUGGAUACUCGACAUCAGCGAUACACUGUUGGUGUCUGAGCGAAAGCAUUAAGUAUCCCACCUGGGAAGUACGAUCGCAAGAUUGA